GACGGAGGAUGCAAGUGUUAUCCGGAAUCACUGGGCGUAAAGCGUCUGUAGGUGGUUUAAUAAGUCAACUGUUAAAUCUUGAGGCUCAACCUCAAAAUCGCAGUCGAAACUAUUAGGCUAGAGUAUAGUAGGGGUAAAGGGAAUUUCCAGUGGAGCGGUGAAAUGCGUAGAGAUUGGAAAGAACACCGAUGGCGAAGGCACUUUACUGGGCUAUUACUAACACUCAGAGACGAAAGCUAGGGUAGCAAAUGGGGAU
rnacentral:rRNA from 1 species